UACAGAGGUCUCGAGCGUUAGGCGGAAUCACUGGGCUUAAAGCGUGUGUAGGUGGAUGGGUAAGUACCUUGUGAAAUCCCACAGCUUAACUGUGGAACUGCUGGGUAUACUGCCUGUCUUGAGUCACUCAGGGGCGAGCGGAACAGAUGGUGGAGCGGUGAAAUGCGUAGAUAUCAUCUGGAACGCCAAUGGUGAAGACAGCUCGCUGGGGGUGUACUGACACUGAGACAC
rnacentral:rRNA from 1 species